ensembl:snoRNA SNORD116 Small nucleolar RNA SNORD116
GUCUCAGUGCUGACUCCCACAUAUGAAUUCUUAGAAAGCUGAACAAAAUGAGCAAAAAAUUCUCUACUGCCAAAAUGAGUGAU